rnacentral:misc_RNA from 1 species
AAAAGUAAGGGCCCCGGGGGGCCGUCUAAACAACACCCGUGAGCCCUACGGCAUCCCCAUGAAUUUGGGCAGCAGGCCGGAACGGUUUAACCCUUUGUGAAAACCCUUGUUGCUUCGGCAGCGCCUCCCCUCGGGGAGGGUCAGCCUGCCGGCGGCACAAACAACAAAACCCUUUUUUUAUGCAAAAAAGUAAUUUUUAAAACGUCUGAGAGCGCAGUCGAAUGACACUUA